AAAAAAAUGUCAGGUCUCAGUCUCAGACAAAAAAAUGUCAGGUCUCAGUUCUCAGGAAAAAAGUCGUCAGGUAUCAGACAAAAAAAUGUCAGGUCUCAGUUCUCACGAAGAAAGUCGUCAGGUAUCAGGCAAGAAAAUGUCAGGUCUCAGUUCUCAGGAAAAAAUGUCAGGUCUCAGUCUCAAACAAAAAAAUGUCAGGUCUCAGUUCUCAGGAAAAAAGUCGUCAGGUAUCAGACAAAAAAAUGUCAGGUCUCAGUUCUCAGGAAAAAAUGUCAGGUCUCAGUCUCAGACAAAAAUAAUGUCAGGUCUCAGUUCUCAGGAAAAAAGUCGUCAGGUAUCAGGCAAAAAAAUGUCAGGUCUCAGUCUCAGACAAAAAAAUGUCAGGUCUCAGUUCUCAGGAAAAAAGUCGUCAGGUAUCAGAACACAAGGUAUCAGACAGAGAGAAAAUCUUCCUGCAGGUGGCGCUGUUGUCACGUCCCACCCAAUGACUGUAGUGACAGCUGCAGUCACGGAGAAACUUGCGUAUCUCUGUUCGGGAAAAGCAGAUAGAGUGUAGGCUCUGAGAGGAGGGCCAGCGUUUACGCUACGAAAACACGACCAAGUGUUUUAACCUAACAGCCUGAGGUGUUCUUCAGGAAACUGGACUACCUGACAGAAGGACCCAAGGCCCCGCUGCACUUUUUCGGGGCUGCCCUCAGAUUCAGACCUCAGCCGCAUCGAGUGACAGCAGACAGAUCAUCCAAC